ACGAACGUUAGCGGUGUGGAUUAGGCAUGCAAGUCGUGCGCGAAAGCCGCAAGGCGAGUAGAGCGGCGAAAGGGUGAGUAACACGUAACCAAUCUACCCCUCAGACCGGAAUAACCACUGGAAACGGUGGAUAAUGCUGGAUGUUCCAAACGAAAGGCAUCUCUUGUUUGGCAAACGGUGGCGCAAGCUGCCGCUGGGGGAGGAGGUUGCGGGCUAUCAGCUAGUUGGCGGGGUAACGGCCCACCAAGGCGAUGACGGCUACCGGGUCUGAGAGGACGGUCCGGCACACUGGGACUGAGACACUGCCCAGACUCCUACGGGAGGCUGCAGUCGAGAAUCUUCCGCAAUGGGCGAAAGCCUGACGGAGCGACACCGCGUGCAGGAUGAAGGCCUUCGGGUUGUAAACUGCUGUCACGUUUUAGGAACGAACGGGCGUUAACAGCGCUCGGACUGACCAAGGCGAGAGGAAGCACCGGCUAACUCUGUGCCAGCAGCCGCGGUAAGACAGAGGGUGCAAACGUUGUUCGGAAUUACUGGGCAUAAAGAGCACGUAGGUGGUGCGCUAAGUCACGUGUGAAAUCCCCCGGCUCAACCGGGGAAUUGCGCGUGAUACUGGCGGACUCGGGGCGGGUAGGGGUGAGCGGAACUCCAGGUGGAGCGGUGAAAUGCGUAGAUAUCUGGAGGAACACCGGUGGCGAAAGCGGCUCACUGGACCUGAUCUGACACUGAGGUGCGAAAGCUAGGGUAGCAAACGGGAUUAGAUACCCCGGUAGUCCUAGCUGUAAACGAUGGGCACUGGGCAGGGGGGAUACCUAUGUCCUCUCUGCCGGAGCUAAUGUGUUAAGUGCCCCGCCUGGGGAGUACGCUCGCAAGGGUAAAACUCAAAGAAAUUGACGGGGGCUCACACAAGCGGUGGAGCAUGUGGUUCAAUUCGAAGCAACGCGAAGAACCUUAUCCUAGUCUUGACAUGCACGGAUUAGUCCCAGUGAGAGUGGGGCACAGCUCUCGAGGUCGGAACGUGCACAGGUGCUGCAUGGCUGUCGUCAGCUCGUGUCGUGAGAUGUCGCGGUUAAGUCGCGUAACGAGCGAAACCCUAUCCCUAGUUGCCACGGGAUUCCUGCCGGGGACUCUAGUGAGACUGCCGUGUUCAAACCGGAGGAAGGUGGGGAUGACGUCAAGUCCUCAUGGCCUUAUGACUAGGGCUAACACACGUGCCUACAAUGGCUCGCUACAAAGGGAUUCAGAGACCGUCGAGGUAGGAGGCAAUCCCAAAAACAGCGCCUCAGUUCGGAUUGCAGGCUGCAACUCGCCUUCAUGAAGCCGGAAUCGCUAGUAAUCGCGGUCAGCACGACCGCGGUGAAUAUGUUCCUGAGCCUUGUACACACCGCCCGUCAAGCCACGAAAGUGGGGAGUGCUCCGAAGCCGCCGUGCUCAACCCGCUAAGGGGGGUAGCGUCGAAGCGCAAGCUCCGCGAUUGGGACU
rnacentral:rRNA from 1 species